AGAGUUUGAUCCUGGCUCAGGACGAACGCUGGCGACGUGCUUAACACAUGCAAGUCGAACGGAAAGGCCCUUCGGGGUACUCGAGUGGCGAACGGGUGAGUAACACGUGGGUGAUCUGCCCUGCACUUUGGGAUAAGCCUGGGAAACUGGGUCUAAUACCGAAUAUGACCAUGCGCCUCCUGGUGUGUGGUGGAAAGCUUUUGCGGUGUGGGAUGGGCCCGCGGCCUAUCAGCUUGUUGGUGGGGUAAUGGCCUACCAAGGCGACGACGGGUAGCCGGCCUGAGAGGGUGACCGGCCACACUGGGACUGAGAUACGGCCCAGACUCCUACGGGAGGCAGCAGUGGGGAAUAUUGCACAAUGGGCGCAAGCCUGAUGCAGCGACGCCGCGUGAGGGAUGACGGCCUUCGGGUUGUAAACCUCUUUCAGCACAGACGAAGCGCAAGUGACGGUAUGUGCAGAAGAAGGACCGGCCAACUACGUGCCAGCAGCCGCGGUAAUACGUAGGGUCCGAGCGUUGUCCGGAAUUACUGGGCGUAAAGAGCUCGUAGGUGGUUUGUCGCGUUGUUCGUGAAAACUCACAGCUUAACUGUGGGCGUGCGGGCGAUACGGGCAGACUUGAGUACUGCAGGGGAGACUGGAAUUCCUGGUGUAGCGGUGGAAUGCGCAGAUAUCAGGAGGAACACCGGUGGCGAAGGCGGGUCUCUGGGCAGUAACUGACGCUGAGGAGCGAAAGCGUGGGGAGCGAACAGGAUUAGAUACCCUGGUAGUCC
rnacentral:rRNA from 1 species